UACGGGGGGAGCAAGCGUUGUUCGGAUUUACUGGGCGUAAAGGGCGCGUAGGCGGUCAGCACAAGUCAGUUGUGAAAUCUCCGGGCUUAACUCGGAAAGGUCAACUGAUACUGUGCGACUAGAGUGCAGAAGGGGCAACUGGAAUUCUCGGUGUAGCGGUGAAAUGCGUAGAUAUCGAGAGGAACACCUGCGGCGAAGGCGGGUUGCUGGGCUGACACUGACGCUGAGGCGCGAAAGCUAGGGGAGCGAACGGG
rnacentral:rRNA from 1 species